rnacentral:rRNA from 1 species
CCUACGGGAGGCUGCAGUGGGGAAUAUUGGGCAAUGGGCGCAAGCCUGACCCAGCAACGCCGCGUGAAGGAAGAAGGCUUUCGGGUUGUAAACUUCUUUUAAGAGGGAAGAGCAGAAGACGGUACCUCUUGAAUAAGCCACGGCUAACUACGUGCCAGCAGCCGCGGUAAUACGUAGGUUGCAAGCGUUGUCCGGAUUUACUGGGUGUAAAGGGCGUGCAGCCGGGAAGACAAGUCAGAUGUGAAAGCCCGCGGCUCAACCGCGGAACUGCAUUUGAAACUGGUUUUCUUGAGUACCGGAGAGGUAAUCGGAAUUCCUGGUGUAGCGGUGAAAUGCGUAGAUAUAAGGAAGAACACCAGUGGCGAAGGCGGAUGACUGGACGGCAACUGACGGUGAGGCGCGAAAGCGUGGGGAGCAAACAGGAUUAGAUACCCCUGUAGUC